AGAGUUUGAUCCUGGCUCAGGAUGAACGCUGGCGGCGUGCUUAACACAUGCAAGUCGAACGAACCUUCGGGUUAGUGGCGGACGGGUGAGUAACGCGUGGGAAUCUGCCCUCAGGAGGGGGAUAACGGCUGGAAACGGCCGCUAAUACCCCAUAUGCCGAGAGGUGAAAGGAAAUUCGCCUGAGGAUGAGCCCGCGUCUGAUUAGCUAGUUGGUGGGGUAAGAGCUUACCAAGGCGACGAUCAGUAGCUGGUCUGAGAGGAUGAUCAGCCACACUGGGACUGAGACACGGUCCAGACUCCUACGGGAGGCAGCAGUGGGGAAUUUUCCGCAAUGGGCGAAAGCCUGACGGAGCAACGCCGCGUGAGGGAUGAAGGCCUCUGGACUGUAAACCUCUUUUCUCAAGGAAGAAGACAUGACGGUACUUGAGGAAUAAGCCACGGCUAAUUCCGUGCCAGCAGCCGCGGUAAUACGGGAGUGGCAAGCGUUAUCCGGAAUUAUUGGGCGUAAAGCGUCCGCAGGCGGCCCUGUAAGUCUGUCGUUAAAGCGUGGAGCUUAACUCCAUUUAAGCGAUGGAAACUACAGGGCUUGAGUGUGGUAGGGGCAGAGGGAAUUCCCGGUGUAGCGGUGAAAUGCGUAGAUAUCGGGAAGAACACCAGUGGCGAAGGCACUCUGCUGGGCCAUAACUGACGCUCAUGGACGAAAGCCAGGGGAGCGAAAGGGAUUAGAUACCCCUGUAGUCCUGGCCGUAAACGAUGAACACUAGGUGUCGGGGGAAUCGACCCCCUCGGUGUCGUAGCCAACGCGUUAAGUGUUCCGCCUGGGGAGUACGCACGCAAGUGUGAAACUCAAAGGAAUUGACGGGGGCCCGCACAAGCGGUGGAGUAUGUGGUUUAAUUCGAUGCAACGCGAAGAACCUUACCAGGGUUUGACAUCCUGCGAAUCCCUUGGAAACGAGGGAGUGCCUUCGGGAGCGCAGAGACAGGUGGUGCAUGGCUGUCGUCAGCUCGUGUCGUGAGAUGUUGGGUUAAGUCCCGCAACGAGCGCAACCCACGUCUUUAGCCUUGCCAGCAUUCAGUUGGGCACUCUAGAGAGACCGCCGGUGAUAAACCGGAGGAAGGUGUGGAUGACGUCAAGUCAUCAUGCCCCUUACAUCCUGGGCUACACACGUACUACAAUGCUACGGACAAAGGGCAGCAAGCUCGCGAGAGUUAGCAAAUCCCAUAAACCGUGGCUCAGUUCAGAUCGUAGGCUGCAACUCGCCUACGUGAAGGAGGAAUCGCUAGUAAUCGCAGGUCAGCAUACUGCGGUGGAUACGUUCCCGGGCCUUGUACACACCGCCCGUCACACCAUGGAAGUUGGCCAUGCCCGAAGUCGUUACUCCAACCCUG
rnacentral:rRNA from 1 species